rnacentral:rRNA from 1 species
UACGGAGGAUCCAAGCGUUAUCCGGAUUUAUUGGGUUUAAAGGGUGCGUAGGUGGCCUGUUAAGUCAGGGGUGAAAGACGGUAGCUUAACUAUCGCAGUGCCCUUGAUACUGAUGGGCUUGAAUGAACUAGAGGUAGGCGGAAUGUGGCAAGUAGCGGUGAAAUGCAUAGAUAUGUCACAGAACACCAAUUGCGAAGGCAGCUUACUAUGGUUUUAUUGACACUGAGGCACGAAAGCGUGGGGAUCAAACAGG